CCCAGAGUUGUUUUCUGCAUUGCCACCAGGCUGCUGUGGUUUCACUGGGGUUGCUUUGAGUGCAAAGGGCUGCGGAAGUUCUUUACCACGAGACUGAAGUGCUGGAACAGGCUGCCCAGAGAUGCUAUGGGUGCCCCGUCCCAUGAGGUGUUCAAGGCCAGCCGAACUUGCAAGAGAAGAUACACACUGCAGUGACCCAGCAAGAAAAGCAGCUGGCAGCUCAGGAGACAGGCACCAAUAUGCACCUGUCAUUGACAACACGCUCAGAACAUGGCCAAUUUCAAUGUAAAGGUGCAGCUCAAUGUGGAGUCACAUAUGUUGCCUACGAUCAGCACCACUGUGUGGUAUUGCAGAGAGGUUUUAGUAAGCAUGACUUUGCUUCACUUUGGAGAAGGCCGAGUCGGAAGAGUCACCACAAACGUGCACCAAACGACAGAUCUGUAGCGAGGCUCUACAGGCCUGAAACACGGGGUGAACUGCAUCGCGGUGAAGCCCAUCAGGGUACUGUGAGCACUGAAACAGGCUGCCCGGGGCAGUGGGCACGGCCCCGAGCUGUCAGAGUUCAAAAAGCGUCUGGAGAACGCGUAGGAAGGUGCGCGCGUAACACGACGCGUGGCCGUGAGGGCCGUGAGGGCCCCGCGGGGCCUUGCCGGGGCCACCGCCGUGCAGUGCUGCCGAAGCGCCACCAGAGGGCGGCAGAGCGCGGCUCCCGCCGGUGCCUCCCGGUAUCCCCGCGCUGUGCCGGCGGCAGGGGGCACGCGGGCCGCCCUCUGCGCCUCGGAGCAAUCAGCAAGAGCCUUGACAAGUGCUGCCAUAAGGAUCUGACUAUCUGGCUUUUUUGAAUGAUUCCUGAAGGCUGCGAUUCAAUGUCUCCAUGUAAUGGAAUUGAUUUCCUUCAGUUAAGUUGGUUUCUCCCUUGGUUUUCCGUGAUGGCUUUAACCUGCAGCGCCAUGAGCAGGCAAUCUGAAGGCUGUGGUUGGUGACUCAUGCCAUUAGUUUUGCCUCUGGCAUUGCUACGGAAAAUCCAUUUCCGUCCAAACUGAAGCUGUCUGUUGAGCGUUAUGUAGUGUGCUGCCUUCGUUUUCUUUUCAAUGAAAAGCUCUUCCAUCUAGAAAUACACGUUCAGACUCUUGCAUUCCAGGUAUGUUUCUGGGGAAGACUGGAAAUACUUUUAACCUUCUCCUCACGGAAUGUAUGAAGGCUGCUCCGAAAGUAAUGCCUCCUAUUUAUUCCCAUGGAAACUGCAACAGUUACAAAGAGUACAAUAACACCGUUUGAUAGAACAAAUUCUCAGCUACAAAGCACUAUUUUUCAACAUGGUUGCCAUCAUUAGCUAUGCAUUUUCAUCCGUGAUGCACAAGAGCCUGUCCAGAACAUAGCUUAUCUUUCACGUUGCUGUUGAAAUGCACCACGCACCCACUCACUGUUCUCACAUCCACUGUUUUGUCUCCAUAAAUGUUCAGCAAGCGUCCAUGAAUGUCAGUGGGUGCCAUUUUUUCUGCGUGGAGAAAUCUGAUGAGACACCUUUCUUUCAUCCACCCUGCCUUGUCACAGACCAUUGUGUACGACUGUCCCUCUGCUGCCAUCUGUCACAUGGCAAUAACAUGUAACAGAAUAUUGGUAGGAAGGUUCAACCUCCACUGCCGUACCACCAGCAUCUACCUCUGAUGUUGUGGGCCAACAUAAUAAAAUAGGAGGCAUUACUUUUGGAGCAGGCCUUGCAUUUAGGGAGACAUUCCUCAAGGAUCAGUUUGACAUGGAUGCGUGAGGCAGGAACUCUUGAAUUUCACCGUGUCGAACAUCCAGGUCUUGGUGCCUGUGAGAUGAGUUUUCUCUUCUAAACAGUGGAAGUUAUCUCCUCUCCGCCUUCUUUCUGCCUGCCUUUCAUCCCAGCAAGGCAGGAAACUGGCUUUGCUAAUUCUUUAGAGAUCUCUGUGGCUUCCUAUCACUUACCUACCAGGUCUUUCUCCAGUAAUCUAUGAAGUCUUCUGUGAUGACAAGUGAGAAAUCUGGUGAUUGCUGCACAUCAGGUAUCAGUCGUGGAAGGCACACUCUGGUCUGGGAGCUGGAGGCAGGAAGCUCCUUGGCCUGUAAUCCUACAUUUCUGCUUUAACAGCACAUACAAUUUGAGAUAGCUGUGAGCAAACAAAGCUGAAGGUUGGAAUUCAUGAAAAGAGAAGCGUUGUUUUUGCUAAUUGGCUAACAUCUGAAGGGUUUGGCAAUGUGAUUACCAGCUGCUAUAGUCUGCAAUUGAUGUCACCUUCUCUUUGUAUAUAAACAUUAGUCAUUUGCUAAAGAAUGUGAAAAACAGGUGUUCCCUGUUCAUUGGAAACCUAUUCUUUUAAUGGGAUACUAUAAGAUAGCACCUGACAUAGAACAAUCCCUCGUAUGUUUGGUGUUAUUAACAUAAACACACUUGAACAGUUCCUUAUGCGGUGCCAUUGGUAUGCGUAGCACAGAAAAGAUAAACAAAAUGACAGAUGCCUAAACCAGAUGAAACUACAAUUAACCUAAUGACAGACAAAAAUAAAGGAAGUGUGGCAGGAAAAUGUGAAGGAACAUAAAAAUCACUGCAAGCUGCACUCGUUAGCUUUGUUUUUUUCUUUUUAAAGAAGUACUUCUACAGUUUGUAGCCAAUACAGGAAGUGAAGGUUGAAGCUGUAACCUUGCAGAGGGAAAUUUGGCUUCCAGACGUGACUCUUUGAAAAGGUUUUGGAAUACAGGAGUGCUCUGCACACAGGAUGAGAAAAGACAUUGAAGAAUAAGCAGUAUGCAUGGAAAAUAACCCACAGUGAUUAGCGGAAAAAGGGAAUAAAGCUAUGUCCCAUAGGCGUGCCCUCUGGAGAGCUUCAACUCAACCUUCUUAUCAGCUGUAGAGCGCAGCAGGAAAAUUGGUACUGUGGCUCUGUAUGCACUCAAACUGGUAUGUUUAGCUUGAAUUUCCACGAACAGAUUUCUUUAGAAAAUUUCGAAUUUGUGCACAAGAUUAAAUUCAAUAGGCAUUAAAUAAAAUAUACCUAAAUGAGAACGUACUAAUAAAAAGCAGCUAUUUGUCUACAGCAAGCUUUAAACGUUCCCAAGCAGCGUGCUCAAGGACAUUCACAUGGAGCUGCUUUGGCAGAGCAGAGGCUCGCUAGGUCAGAACAAGGCUCCCUGCUUCCAUCAGUAGAGCUGCUGAGUGCAGGCAGAGCACUGGAUUCACCCAGUGGGCUCUGGGUGCCCCAAGCCAGCCCAAGGGCCAGCAGCUCAGCUCCCGCUCUCACACCCCCAUGGGAUCCAGUUAUCAUAAAACUGUGUUCUGAAGAUAAAAAAUGAUCCAAGGGAUGGAACAUCUCCCCUAUGAGGACAGGCUGAGGGAGUUGAGGAUUUUCAGCCUGGAGAAGAGAAGGCUCCAGGGAGACCUGGUAGUGGCCUUUGAGUAUCAAAAGAGGGGCUGUAAGAAAGAAGGGAACAGACUCUUUUGCGGGGUCUGCUGUGAUAGAAAAUGGGAAAAUGGUUUCAAACUAAAAGAGGGAAUAUAAGGAAGAAGCUUUUAAGAAUAAGGAUGGUGAGGCACUGGCACAGGUUGCUCAGAGAGGUGGAGGAUGCCCCAUCCCUGGAGAUACUCAAGGUGAGGCUGAAUGGGGCUCUGAGCACCUGAUGGAGCUGUAGGUGUGCCUGUCCAUUGCAGGGGAGUUGGACUUGAUGGCCUUUAAAGGUCCCUUCCAACUUAACCCAUUCUAAGAUUUAUGAAGAUUAGAGGGGUAGCUUUGAAGAUUGAGGUUACAAUGAGAUGAGGCAUGCUCAGAACAACACAGUUCCAAAUUAAAAGUAAGGUUAAUUUUUGUUCUCGUAAUCAAAGUUACGUUUUUAAUGCAGGAGAUAGACAACUACCUAACAGUGCGGAACGCUCAGCUGCGGGUGAGCAAUCAAGCAGUGCCCCAGUAGAGCUAAAACAUUUUGCUGGGUUUGUGACAGCAUCUUUUUUUUCUCUUUUUUUUUUUGGUCUGUCACAAAUUGCCAUCGUCUCACAGCCAAAAUUGUUGGAAUUUUUUCCAUUGUGCACGAAGCAUUUUUAAACAAUAAUUCCAUCUAUUCUUAGCGAGAUGUUCUUUGGUGUGAAUUCUAUCUAUUGUUAGAAAGUGCUUUUGAGAAAAUAUGAUUCUAAUCUUAUGGCUUUUUGCCUUGAUAUCAAGAGACUUACUACCAAAUAUGCAGUCAUAUCUUUUGUUAAUAGAACCAAGUUACAGGAUCUAUUCAUAGAGCAGUAAUAAAUAAUGGUGGCAGCGGGGAGGGAUAUAUGUCAUUUUAGUUCUAGAAAACUGAUACUCCCAAAGGAUAAUGAUAUGAGGAAAAUUAGCUGCUGUCAACCUAGUUCAUAUAUAGUCUGUAUUGUAGGGAAAAAGAAUGUAUUGGAAUAAACUCUGUGGAAAGAAAAAUGACAUUUAUAAGUAAGUUUUUCCAGCCAAAAGACAUUUUUUUUCUAUUUCAGCCCCAAAGUGCACCCCUGACAUUUGCAUCGAGGGGCAUAUUUAGAUAUUUAGUGCAGUACAGUCCCAAAACUUUAUCAGAACGUUGAAAGCUGUUGUAAACAAGGAAACCAAAGUCAGGAGUCUCUCAGCAGAAAAGAGAACACCACCUGAAAUGGUUGCUGCUCAGUGUCUAGGCUUUCCUUUAUUCCCAUGGCAGAGUACAGGCCAUGCUAAGCAAGCUGAUCAAAACUGCAGAGGAGCUAGUGGUGGGAGAAAAACACAUCAUCAUAAUGUAUGCCAAGUGGAGGGUGGCAGGGAGACCCAACGGAGUGCCGUGCUUUUCACAUACACAACUUUCACAUUCUGAAUAAUUGUAACUUCCCUCAGUGUGACUCCCACAUUGCUCUAUCAGACCUGAUAAUGAAGUUAAAUCAGUCCAGUCCUCGAUCUCCGAUUUAGGCAGAUGUUAAAAUGAUAUCUCACUGCUUCUCAUGCACAUCUCAUGCGCUGUUUUUUGGGUGUUUGGGUUUUUUGUGCUGAUUUGGUUCCAGGGAACAUGCAACGACCUACAGAUUUGUUUCCCUAAUCGUGUCAGCUAUUGGCAGUACUGGUGUCCAAGACCUGUAAACCAAGUUUUGUGUGCAGCCCACUUUUUGAGGACAGCCAGGCCAGAAAGCUGUGCAUGGCAGACUGGAUGUCUGUAGGAGCCAGCAACUGUGAAUACAAAAAAGCUGCAGUCCCUCAACUUCUCCCCACAGGUUUCCCCUGGCAAUCCUGGCAUUGGAUCUUGUGAAGGAAACACCUGGCCCUUGGACUACACAAAGUCUAACAUCAGAGGCGCCAAUCAGCACUGUGAUGGUGAGCCAGAAAGGUCUGCAGCAUGCUUGCUGCCAUCUUAAACCUUUCAGCUUUGGUUUUGAUAGAACUUUUCCUGUUUCAGUUAUGCAUUCCAAAAGCUGAAAGCGUCUGGCGAAUGAAGCAAGAAACUGCACAAAGGGAAAGUCUGGUGAUUCAGUCAGCUGCUCCAUGCCCAGAGAAGUGGCCUACGGCCCUGCCCUUCCCACAGCACUCUCCAUUCCUCAUGCUGGUGGCCAGCCAUCUACUACAGACAUUACUGAAGAGCAGUACUUGCAUCGUCGCCUUUAGGCAACUGAAAAGUAUGACUGACAUAAAAAUCCAGAGCUUUCAAAUCCAGAGGCCCUCAUUGCUGGUAGAAACAAGAGAGGGAAAUAUAUUCAUAUUCUAGACAGGCACUAGAGAGAGGUUCUCUGCUUGAAACUGGACUAAAUCUACAGCUUCAUACAUCGACAUGAAGGGAGGAGUAACUCAGCACUUCUCUCUCCAGCAUCACAAGGCUCUGAAGGUACUGCCUUUGACAGACUUUUUUUCUCUGAGUGGAUGAGUUAUUGAUCAAGUAAGAGAUAAAAAAAAUAGGCACUUACUUUGUGCCACAUUGCUCUGAUCAGUGAUAGAAGCUCACUGCUGGAUACCGAUCUUAAUACAAUCUCAUGAACUCAGCAGAUCCUUUUCCUUAGUCUGCACUAAUGUCAUAUUAAGUGUCUUUGUGUUUUUUACCAUAUUAAGCAUUUCUGAAACUUGAAGAUUGAUUUUGGUUUGAUUUUAAAGGGCUGAGAGAUUUUAGAAUUAGAUUUUAAUAGCCAAUUAUAGAUUAUUAAACAGUGGAAAAAAUUUAAAGCCAUUAAAAUAAUCUUUUAAACCUUCCUUAAAAUUACAUGCGAUCCACUGAGAAUAUUCGUCCAGCUGUAUUUGAAAAAUAUUAAUUGGAAGUCAGUGCAAAUAUAAAUGCUAAUGUGAACUUAACCAGAACGUGAGGGUUUCUGAACUGGAAAAGCUCUCAGAGCACACAGAAGUCACCUGUCAAGGUGGUUUUGGGACAACCAUAUGUACUAUGGGAUGACGGAGGGCAAAAAUUACGGAGGGCCACUAUGUGACUAAUUCUGCUUACUUCUAUUUUGUUUGUUUGAACAUCAGAAAUUCCUCACACGUAUCCUGUGUCUUCCAGUGAUUUGUUACACCUCUGUAAAAUACUGAUUUCAUUCCUAAGGGUGUUUCUGCCUUUAAAGAGCAGUAUCUGUCUGGCUCAGUUGGCAGUGCUGACCGGAAUAAAAACAAACAAACAACAAAAAACAAAAAUAAAUGAACAAAUAAAUGAAAAACAUCCCUGAUCAAAUAUCAGUAACUGUUACAGAACAGGAACUAAAAGAGGGGCGAUUUAGGUUAGAUGUUAGGAGGAAAUGCUUUCCCCAGAGGGCAGUGAGGUGCUGACACAGCUGCCCAGAGAAGCUGUGGUGCCCCAUCCCUGGAGGCGCUCAAGGCCAGGUUGGAUGGGGCCCUGGGCAGCCUGAGCUGGUGGGGGGCAGCCCUGCCCACGAUAGGGUUUGGAGUAGGGUGGGCUGUGAGGUUCCUUCCAACCCAAAUCAUUCUGUAAUUCUAUGAUUAUGAAUGUUACAUUUCAAUUAAUGUUAUCAUAACAAUGCUAUGGAUAUGAUUUUUCUUAUCUCAGCUUGCUGGGGAAUAGUGUAAAGAAUUUUCUGAAUGGGUAUAGCCUUUGGGGUGCCUGAGAUAAAGUAUUUUCACACACAUCCACCCCAUGUGAAACGUGCAGAAAGCCAAAAUAAACCACUGAAUUGGAUUUUGCCUUCGCUUCAGGAAGGACAGAAUAGUAGGGACUAUUUCUCAUACUUGAUCGCUAAUUUGUUGGCCAGUCAUCGUGGCAAUUAAGGAAAAAUGAUCACCUCAGUCCAAGCUGAGUGAAAUAAAGGGGAGAUUUCUUGUUAUGGCUGGGAAAAUCACAGAAAGCGUCACAGAAAUACGGAAGGAGCUAUGAUGGAUAUGCAUGGAGAAGACAGAGAACAAAUGCAGCAAAUAGGAAGCAUCAACUACUGAUAUGACAGAGAUUCAGAAUCACAGAAUGUCUUAGGUUGGGAGGGACAUCAAAGCCUACCCAGUCCCAACCCCUGCUGUGAACAGGGCUGCCCUCCACCAGCUCAGAC
rnacentral:lncRNA from 1 species